rnacentral:tRNA from 1 species
GUGGUGGCUCAAUGGUAGAGUGCUUGCCUUGCAUGCAUGAGGUCCUGGGUUCGAUCCCUCAGCAUCACA